AUUGCAGGAAAGAGGCCUGGCCGAAGAAGCAGAGAAACUCUGGCUUCAGAAACGUUCAAGGUUUAAACAUUGACUCUAUCUCCGCAAGCCAAAGUGUCUGUUCUAAAAGAAGUCCAGCACCUUACAAUUUUUGCAACUGGUCAAAAGAAAGAGGGCUACCAUGCAGGAAUAAUUGGACCAUGCCUGGACAAGCACAAUGAGUUGGACGCAAGCCUUCAAUUCUAAUCUGGCAGCACACUUGUUGAUAAAUUGCAAAACGUCUCCUGGUUUCCAUGGAAAAAAAAGGAAGGAUGAUGCUCAGCUGUGGAUAAUAUCAACAACAAUGGGAUGAACAAUUUUGAUGAAUGCAAACUGAAAGAAAAUCCAGCAUAUGAAAUUCACAUUUUGGUAUAUUUUUAUUUGCUAAGUCUUUUCAGCUUUAAUAAACACAUGUCAAGAUAUACCUACUAAA